GCUCCCAUCGUCUAGAGGCCUAGGACACGGCCCUCUCAAGGCUGAAACACGGGUUCGAGUCCCGUUGGGAGCACCA
rnacentral:tRNA from 2 species